UCUAGUACGAGUUCACGGGUGGGAAGUCACGGGUUUGACUGCCGUUCCAGUGCACUUUCACCGGUAGAAGGUUGUAAAAACACGAGUUACAGGCUGCCUGGAACGCAUAGGGUCGUGAGUCGUGGUUUUGAAGUCGUAACUCACGAGUUUAAAAGCCUGCCUGGAACGCAGCAUUAGCUUCACUGUUAUUUUAAUUGCGAGAGACGAAAAAAUGUUUGAACAAAGAGCCUAGGUAGGGGGAAGUACACAAAAUACAUGCGGUUUUUUCUAGUGUAAUGUUUAUUAAUAUGUUGGAGGCAAUUCCUCAAAAUCUACUUUAUAAAAUAUACUAUUGUAAACAGAAUAUGGUUGGUAUAUCAACCCUUAUGAUUUGAUAAUAAUGUAUGUUUUUUUUUUUCUCUUUCCCCUGUACUUUUGUUACAUCAUUUUUUUGCUGUCUAGACAUUUUUGUGGUAAGUCAUUUAUAUAACAAUCUCUGUUGCAACAUAAUACUUUUUUUCUGAACAGUUAACCUUGCACAUGAUAUUUAAAUAGUAAUGUUUAAUUUUUCUUUCUUUUGCUCUUUUGAAAACUUUAACUGCUUUAGCUAAACCUCAGCCAAAUUCCUGGUUUUGCUGGGCAACAGCACCUAUUUAAUACAAUUUUUUAUAGCGAACCCAAAGGCUCUUUUCAGAGCCAUCCACAUUGCGUCACUGAUUGGACAUCUUAUUCAUCUUUCAGCUUGCCUCUUAAAAACUGCCAGGAAACACCAAAAAACACCGAUUCAACUAAAAAACAAAGCCUACAAAUUCUACCCAAAACAAACGACCCAUUUUUUUUACCCCACCCAGACCACUCUUUUGCCCUAACCCCAAUACACCGACUACCCCCAAACAGAACGCCCCUUUUAACUUUUUGCUUUGACAGAAAGAGUGAGAGCAGAACUACCUACAGCUCCAGUGUGCCCUGCUGCCUUGAGUGUCUUCACAAAGCAACGUUGAUUAGAGGACUGCGUUGGGAAAUCAACACCAUCAACACACACAAUAAUUUACUAUAGUUUUAAAAUUACAUAAUUUCCUAUAGUCUUUUAGACUGUUUACAAUAGAUAAUACACAUUACAGUACUUUUAAAAGUCAUUAAUAUAUCAGUAAAAAAAUUGUUUUGGCAAGUUCAUCUUUGAAACGUAUUACAUUAUAUCUGAGUCUUUUCACAUUUGCCUGUACUCAUACUUACUAUACUAAUUAAUUGCAUUAGUGAUAUUGCCUAGGGAUAUUGUUAUCAUUUCUGUAAAAUAUUGGGGUAAACAGUGUUUAACAGUUCAACAGUUCCAUUGCUAUAGUCUUGUGUGUUUGUAUAUCUAAUUUGUUGACUGUUUUAACUGUGAAAUUAGUACAGUACUUUAAAAGAUUGUUAAUAUAUAAGUAAAAUAUUCUAAGUUUGACUGUUGUUGUAACUGCUAAUUGAAUAGACUACAUUUAAAGGUCAUUAAAAAUUUUUGGUUUGCCAAGUUCGUCUUUGAAUCUUACCACAUUGUAACAUUUACCUUUAUUAGUUGAUUGCAUUACUGAUAUUGCUUUUGGUUAAAUUUUUUGUACAAUAUUGGG